rnacentral:tRNA from 2 species
GCGGAAGUAGUUCAGUGGUAGAACAUCACCUUGCCAAGGUGAGGGUCGCGGGUUCGAACCCCGUCUUCCGCU